UUGCCGUCGUUCCAUGUAUAUUGCAAUUGGAAUGAUACAGAGAAGAUCUAUAUGACCUCAGGCAAGGAUGACAGACAUGUUUGUGAAGUGGUUCAGAUUUUA
rnacentral:snRNA from 1 species